rnacentral:rRNA from 1 species
AGUGAACGCUGGCGGUAGGCCUAACACAUGCAAGUCGAACGGCAGCACAGUAAGAGCUUGCUCUUACGGGUGGCGAGUGGCGGACGGGUGAGGAAUACAUCGGAAUCUACUUUUUCGUGGGGGAUAACGUAGGGAAACUUACGCUAAUACCGCAUACGACCUACGGGUGAAAGCAGGGGAUCUUCGGACCUUGCGCGAUUGAAUGAGCCGAUGUCGGAUUAGCUAGUUGGCGGGGUAAAGGCCCACCAAGGCGACGAUCCGUAGCUGGUCUGAGAGGAUGGUCGGCCACACGGGAAGGGAGACACGUCCCAGCCCCCUGAGGGAGGCGCCAGUGGGAAUUGUGAGACAGUGGGCGCAAGCCGGACCCAACCAUCCCGGGGGGGAGAAAAAGGCGUGGGGGUGAAAAAGCCUUUUUGUGGGAAAAAAAAAGAGGCAGUUAGAUACCACGCUGUUCGGACGGUACCAAAAGAAAAAGCCCCGGCUAACUACGUG